rnacentral:rRNA from 1 species
UCUGGUAAUGAUGGCAGAGAGGUCACACCCGUUCCCAUACCGAACACGGAAGUUAAGCUCUCUAGCGCCGAUGGUAGUUGGGACCUUGUCCCUGUGAGAGU